rnacentral:sRNA from 1 species
UGGAGAGCACUGGAGACUGACCUUCUUUAUCUAGUCACAGAGCAGGCAUGGAAUGAAAAGCAACAGUGCAAGAUUUCCCCACAUUGCUCUGCCUUUGUACCUCAACCCUGACCCAAAGGGGCCAUCAAUAUGGAUAAGAGGGUAGUUCAGUCUUCAGGGUUCCUUUCAGUGUUAGAACUGCU